AUAAUACUCCCUCCGUCCGGAAAUACUUGUCCUAUAAAUGGAUGUAUCUAGACUUGUUUUAGUUACAGAUACAUCCAUUUUAUUCAUUUAUAGGACAAGUAUUUCUGGACGGAGGGAGUACAAC
rnacentral:pre_miRNA from 1 species